rnacentral:lncRNA from 1 species
GUGCUUUGAAAGCUUUGUGAUUAUCAAGCUGUUAGAACACAGCAGCAGCCUUAAUAUAUUUCAUGUGGAGCAUUCUGAAGCCUCUUUUGGAUUUCUAACAGGAGGAGGGGAGAGUCCAUUUUAUUCUCUUGGAAUUUGUCUUGUAAGGUGCAUCGCACUGCUUUUAGUAAUCAGAGAAAUAUUCCUCUGUGUCUGGCUAGUGCUUGUUUAUUCUUCCCUUAUAUAUUUUUUUCAAGACUAGCAAUUUGCUUUUAUGAACAUAGACUGUAGGGAGAUAAAUAGCCCUUGUGCUAGAGGAAGGUCAAGUUCAAAGUUUUUCUUUCCUUUGGAUUCCGGAGUAGGCAAAUGGAACGCCUGGCCAAACAACCCGGCAGCCGGCGUCUGAGGGCUCAGCCCUCCCCCCAGGACUUUUAUGUACAUAAGCAGAAGUCACUCUGCAGCUGCGGCGCAUUAGUUCCGAUAGUUUAGCAGGCUGCUUUGUGCACUGACAGCAGCGCAGCGCCGCCGUGGCUUCCCCUCCAUGUUCCCUGCCUGCCUGCCUGCCAGCCGUCAGGGAUCUUGGCAGGAGCCAGGAGGACGGUGACGUCGAGCAGGCUUCCGUUCGCCGGGUCUACACCCAGCCGCGUCUCCAGGGGACACUGAGGCAGGCAAGCGAAUGAACUAACAGCAGCUGGAUCUGACCUGCUUCCCGGGCUUCUCCCGGACUCCGAGCGAGGGAGUCACUGGAAAGAGGCCAGGCAACCACGUUGCCCUGGAUUCCUGCCAGCUGUACAAAGUUGACCAGGAAAAUGGCUCAGCAGGCAAGCCCGGACACCUUAACCGUCCCUGAGGUGGAUAAUCCGCACGGUGCAAACCCAUGGCUGAACGAGGAUCUCGUGAAAUCCUUGCGGGAAAACCUGUUGCAGCAGGAGAAGUCCAAGACGGCGAGGAAAUCCGUUUCUCCCAAGCUCUCUCCGGUGAUUUCUCCGAGAAAUUCCCCCAGGCUCCUGCGCAGGAUGCUUCUCAGCAGCAACAUCCCCAAGCAGAGGCGUUUCACCGUGGCUCAUACGUGAUGUCAUAGAACUUAUGCUGUGACUAUGAUGUUUGGCUCCGAGUGUGAAUGCAACGGACGUUAGCAUUCUCUCAUUCCCCUGAAUUUGCCUAUCACCGCAGUGUGACUAUCCAAGGAGAGAAAUGAAGGCUCCUUUGAUUCUCUCCCCCAGUGAAGCUGGUUAUGACAGAAGAAACUGAACACAGGCACCUGGUGUCUGGGAGAGUAGCCUGGAGUUAUGACAUUCCAUGCAAAGUUUUCAACACCUCCAGUUAUGUAUUAAAAAUCUGUUUUCUGAUCCCUUAUUAUUUUGUUUAUUUUUCUCCAAAUUGCCUUGACUCCCCUUUAUAAAUCUCUGUUACCUGCUUGCUGUAGCUUGAGAACACAUUCUUAGCUUACAAAGAAUACGUUCCUCUAGCACAUUUGUAUCGAAAUGAAAAUGAUGUAUGCUUCUCCAGAUGACUUGCGUGGCUCACAGCCUCCAUGUCUUCACCCCACAGUACCUCACUGUAGCAUCCCCACCCACCAUCAGGUCAAUUCCUACUGUCGUCUCCAUCCCCAACUGCACUGCCACUGAAGUCCCCUACUCAAUGUUUCUCUAUCGUGCUUGGUCACUUUCUGAUAUACCUUAAAAGCUGCGUGUUUAUUUGAUUAUUCAUGUAUCUCCAACUAGAAUAGCAGCUGCCAUAAGAAGAGGAUUUUUGUCUAUUUUGUUUUCUAUUGUAUCACUAGACCUAGACUAGCACUUGGCAUAUGGUGGAUGCUCAAUACUGAUGUGUCAAAAGAAAAAUGGAGGCCUGGGGAUUUAGCUCAGCAGCAUAAGCACUUGCCUAAGUGAGGUCAUAAGUUUGAUCCCCAGUAACAAAAAAUAAAAAAAUAAAAAAAUAA